CAGUUUUCAGCAUUUUACUUUAAAUAAUAGUCCAAGUAAAACAAAGAUUUGAACAUUUAACAUAAAAUAUCCUCCUGACCUCAAGUUUUAAGGUUGAAUUUUGAAAAACGACAGCAGAAAUCAUGGAUAUUAGAUGCUAGUUGAAUAUUGAUGCACAAAGCAAAUCCUGUUUGUUUUUCUACUGUAAUUUUAAGCCUUAUCUGUGUAUAAUUAGGUAAUUAAUACAUUUGUAAGGGUUGUUCCUUGAACAAAAUACAUAUGGGAGGCACUUUUUAAGAACCAACCCACCCAUAAUAUUAAAAAUUUCCACAUUACUUACAUUUCAUUUCAAUAUUAGUAAUGAAUUUGAAAUUGCCUCUAUUCAUUAUUUUGUAACAUGAUCAAAAUGCACACAGAUCAACAAAUCAACAGUGAUCCUAGCUUAAAACAAUAUUUUCUCCUUGAUAAAUAACAAAACUAAAAGGCAUAUAAACAAAGUAAUGGUGAUACUUUCUUAAUAUGCUCAUCAAAUGAAGUUAAGGAGAGACUAUAGUGUUUUAUGGGUCAUUUUUUUUACGAUUCAAGUUAAGUUCUGAAUUAAAUGUCAAGAUUUAAAAAUACAAGUCACCAUUAUAUGACCUUAAAAUGGC
rnacentral:lncRNA from 1 species